GCGAACGUAGCUUAGCGGCCUAAAGCACUCGCCUGUCACGCGAGGAGACGAGAGUUCAAAUCUCUUCGUUCGCGCCA
rnacentral:tRNA from 1 species